UAAUAAGCGGAGGAAAAGAAACUAACAAGGAUUCCCCUAGUAACUGCGAGUGAAGAGGGAAAAGCCCAGCACCGAAGCUCUCGCCCUGACGGGCGCUGCGCAAUGUGGUGUGUGAAGGGAGCCGCUACCGACGGGCAGUCCGUGCCUAAGUCCCCCUGACCGGGGCCACAGCCCAAGGCGGGUGCAAGGCCCGUGUGGCACGCGAGGCUACUCGGAGGUUGGUGACCUUUUUGGAGUCGGGUUGCUUGAGAGUGCAGCCCUAAGCCGGUGGUAAACUCCAUCGAAGGCUAAAUACCAAACACUAGACCGAUAGCAAACAAGUACCGUGAGGGAAAGUUGCAAAGAACUUUGGAGAGAGAGUUCAAGAGUACGUGAAACCGCUCGGAGGUAAACGGAUGGGACCUCGAAGGUCGAACGGGUGGAUUCAACCCGUCGGCGGUCGCGUCUCUGCGGAUAAACCCGAAGUAACAGAUCCGAGGGACUGGUUCGCAGAUCGACUCAUGCGGCUUCGCUGGCGGGCGCACUUCCACCUCAGUAGGACGCCGCGACCGGUCGUUAAAAAUUUUGUCUGGGCAGCCUUAAGUCGCGGGUGUUUGGCAGGUAUCUGUUGCCGGUAGUUCCGUUCGGGGGAUUCGUUCCUCGUUCGCGAGCCCGGUCGGAGUUACAGCCCGCCCCGUAAGCUUGACUGGCUCUGCCAUACGACCGUUGCUUGAAAAGACUCUCGUGUCGGCGCGCCCGCUUUGUGUUCACCACGAAAGCGCGUUCGCUCUCUCGCAGGCCGGGUAUCGGAGAGAUUAAAGUGACUGACGCCAUAAAAUAGGCGGCUGUUGCCUCUCCGCCUGCCGGUAGCGAGGAGUGGGGCUGGACGGUUUGAACUUAAAACCAAGGCUAACGCGGUUGGCGCUCGAGGUCUGCGGCGAGUAGGUCGGUAACCCAUCCGACCCGUCUUGAAACACCGGACCAAGGAGUUUAACAUGUGCCCAAGUCAAGAGGUUCGCGAAAGCGAGACCCGGUGGCGAAAUGAAAGUGAAGGCGGAUAGCUCUUCGGAGCCGACGCCGAGGCGAGACCGAACACGGAAUCAAACGAAAAACGUGCUUCGAGCAUCGCUGGCCCGUCUCAACCGCAACACGUCGGCGAGGCGGAGCAAAAGCGUACACGUUGGGACCCGAAAGAUGGUGAACUAUGCCUGUACAGGACGAAGCCAGAGGAAACUCUGGUGGAGGUCCGUAGCGAUUCUGACGUGCAAAUCGAUCGUCUGAUAUAGGUAUAGGGGCGAAAGACUAAUCGAACCGUCUAGUAGCUGGUUCCCUCCGAAGUUUCCCUCAGGAUAGCUGGCACUCGGAGAAAAACAGUCUCAUCCGGUAAAGCGAAUGAUUAGAGGCCUUGGGGCCGAAACGACCUCAACCUAUUCUCAAACUUUCAAUGGGUGAGAAGUCUGGCUUGCUCGAACUGAAGCACAGACAAAAUGUCUGGAUGCGAGUGCCCAGUGGGCCACUUUUGNNNNNNNNNNNNNNNNNNNNNNNNNNNNNNNNNNNNNNNNNNNNNNNNNNNNNNNNNNNNNNNNNNNNNNNNNNNNNNNNNNNNNAACCGAAAGGGAAUCGGGUUAAUAUUCCCGAACCCGGACGUGGAGAUGGGCCCGCGAGGGUCAGAAGCGGUAACGCAAAAUGAACUCGGAGAUGUCGGCGGCAGUCCCGGGAAGAGUUGUCUUUUCUUUGUAAGGGACUGACUCCCUGGAAUCGGUUCGACCGGAGAGAGGGAAAUUGUGCCCGUAAAGCACCGCGGCUCUUGCGGUGUCCGGAGAAUUGCCGCUGGCCCUUGAAAAUCCGAGGGAGUAAAAUUCAUUUCCACGCCGGGCCGUACCCAUAUCCGCAGCAGGUCUCCAAGGUGAACAGCCUCUAGUCGAUAGAACA
rnacentral:rRNA from 1 species